rnacentral:tRNA from 1 species
GGGUAUAUAGCUCAGUGGUAGAGUGUAUCCUUAGUAUGCAUGUGGUUCCUGGGCUCAAUCCCCAGUACCUCCA